rnacentral:snoRNA from 1 species
ACCAAUUCUGGGAGAUUGUUUUUGGUUCUUCUAGGUAUAAUGGCUUGGGCGCUAUAUCCAGUCUUUGUGGUCAUCCUGAUCCAUGGCCUCUUCCAUGCCAUUUGAUCCUGGAAACACCCCAUACAUAC